AGUGAACGCUGGCGGUAGGCCUAACACAUGCAAGUCGAACGGCAGCACAGUAAGAGCUUGCUCUUACGGGUGGCGAGUGGCGGACGGGUGAGGAAUACAUCGGAAUCUACUUUUUCGUGGGGGAUAACGUAGGGAAACUUACGCUAAUACCGCAUACGACCUACGGGUGAAAGCAGGGGAUCUUCGGACCUUGCGCGAUUGAAUGAGCCGAUGUCGGAUUAGCUAGUUGGCGGGGUAAAGGCCCACCAAGGCGACGAUCCGUAGCUGGUCUGAGAGGAUGAUCAGCCACACUGGAACUGAGACACGGUCCAGACGCCUACGGGAGGCAGCAGUGGGGAAUAUUGGACAAAGGGCGCAAGCCUGAUCCAGCCAUACCGCGUGGGUGAAGGAGGCCUUCGGGUUGUAAAGCCCUUUUGUUGGGAAAGAAAAGCAGCAGGUUAAUACCCCGCUGUUCUGACGGUACCCAAAGAAUAAGCACCGGCUAACUUCGUG
rnacentral:rRNA from 1 species